AUAAUAAAUCAAUGAUUUAGCUAAAAUCUAAUAAAAAAAUGACAAAUAAGCAAAUUUACUAAAAUUAUGGAUAAUAUAAAAUAUACUUGAUUCUUUAAUACAAAAUUAAAAUAAGAGUUUUGUUAAAUCAAACAUAAGUUUGCCGUAUCGGUGUUACAAAAAACAAUCAUUAAUAGUGUCGUAGGAAUUAUGUAUUUCUUAUUAGCGAAUAAAAUUGAAGCAGAGUGUUGGAGGAUAGCUCAACGUAUAGACGAGAUUAUAGAGAUUGAUAUGGGAGCUGAGGUAACAGACACAACUGUUCCUCCGCAAAGAAACGCUCCUGUUAGACAUCCUGGAUAAAUGAAAGAGACAUAUAUGGACUUGGCUUUGUGUUAAUGGAUGAUGACUUUCCAAUGCUGUUUGGAGCAAGGGCUGAUAUACACGCACCAAAUCACCACUGCAAGCAGAAGCUGAAGGUUUGCUAUGGGCAAUGCAAGUGAUACUGAAGUUUGGACAUAGAGAGAUGGUCUUUCAAUCGACUGUGAACAACUGGUUAUACUCAUUCAAAAGGAGGAAGAUUGGCCUGCGUUGGAUUCGGAGCUCGACGAAAUACAGGCUGUAUCCAAAGAAUUUUCUGAACGUUCUAUUGCUUAUAUUCCUAGAUCUUUAAAAUUCCGUACGAAUAGCCUAGCAAAAGGUAUCCGAUCAUGCGCAUCUCGAUCAGCUUUUGUAAACCCUUUUGCACCAAAGCUCUGACUAUAUGGACUUAAAGUGAUUGAUUUAAAGUCUAAAAUCUAAUAAAAUAUGACACCUAAAAACCUAAAAAGAGAAUAAAGUUAAAAGUGAAACUAAAUAUCCCAGUGAACAAAUUUAUUAGAAGUCCAUAUUUAUAUGGAUGUUUAUAUUGGACAAACAAUUAUUUUUAGACAAUUAUAGAAUACUAGAAGUCUUUUCCGCGCUACGCGCGGAUUAUAUACUAUAAUUUCUUGUACAAAUGUUUUUUUAGUAUUCUGCUUUACUUGUUUUAUUUUCUUUUAUAUUUGAAGUACAUUUUCAUAUUUAUUCUGUAUGUAUAUAUCAUAAAAUUCACAUAAGGUUCCAACAUUUAGAGAAUGAAUUGUUUCAUUUAGAACUUUAACAAAGUUUUCGUAUGUUAUAAUUUUAUAUGACAUGGUAGUCAUUGUUACUCUAAGUUUUGAGUAGUUGUAUAUUCACUUAAAAUUAAAUAUUUUAAAUUGAAGUAACCCACAAGAAAAAGGAAAAUUAGAAUAUCAAUUUUACUUUUGGCAUAAUAGAGAAAAAGAAUGAUAGUAUAUGACUUUUUUUUGAGAAAGGGCAUUAGUAUGUGCCUUCAUGAGUUUGAAAGAUUUAUAAGCGUCAUUGUUUAUUCAAAAUGGUUCAAUUAAUUACCUAAUGAAUUACGUAAGGACUUGGUAUGGUCUAAAAAACUAUAAUUUUUUACUUUCGAUGUGUUUCUAUUAGGUGAAGUUGGUAUACAAUAUUUUUUGUUGGUAAUAGUGUUUCUUUAAAUAUUUUUUAAAAAGUUUUUGUAGACAACGUGCGAAUCUCUUUCCAAAAAAUCACAUAAAGAGUUUUGAUUCCUUCUUCGGUAAUAGAAAGUUAAAAACUUAUAUUUUUGGUAAAACAAAGUUACAAAAUAUUUUGGUAAUGGUUAUUUCAUAGUGAUUUUUUGAAUUUAUGAAUUUCACUUUUUGUUUGUUGUUGUGUCUCAUAUUUAUAUUUCUAUAGCUUUUAGUAAUUCUUAUUGAAACUGGUGUUAAUUAUUAAAUGUACACUAUUUAAAUAUAUGAGAAGUAUAGUAUUGUAAUAGUGUUUGGAAAAUUUUUGAUCCAAAAAACUUAAAUUUUCAUCAAAUAUAAAAUUAAAUUAUUAUUUUAAUUGUGUAUAUUAUAUUUUUUAGUUAUUUAUUAUCUGUCAUUUGUCAUUUAUGUUGUUUAAUACUUUUAUCUCCUUUUAUAUUUUGCUUUCUUUAAUUAUUAUGAUAAUGUUUGUGUAUUAUAUAUACAGACAUAAAAUUUAAUUUUCAUCAAACAAAAUAUAUGCAAUAGGAAGUUUGUUUAUUUUAGUUAAGAGUGUGAAUUCUUAAUAUUCAUAUUAUUAAUGUUAAAUAUUUAGCAUAAGUAAAUUUUUUUUAUCUUUUGGGCUUCUAUUUAAAAUGAUCCAUUAAAUUAUUACUUAUCAUAUUAAAACUAAUUAAUUAUGAUUUACUGCAUAUGUUUUGGUUAAAUUAUUUUAUUCAUUAAAUUCUUUAUUUCACCCACUUACUCAUAUCAAAUAAAUAAUGUAUUGUAUUUUUCUUUAUUGUAUAUGUGUUACUAAAAACAAAAUAUUAAGUGGCCAUCUUGAUAUAGAACCAUAGAUGAAAUUCUAUAUGGGAGUUGAGGAAACCAAAACUAUUAUUCGUUACUUAAGCUUAAAUCUUGAACAGUUUGAAUUGUUGAGUAUUAUUUUACAUUCCUCAAUACUUAAGUCAUUAUAUAAAGAUAAAAUUUAGCUUUUUCAAGAAAUAAUAAAAUUCUGCAUAGGAAUACAAAACCGGAAAAAAAAAACAAAUUGACAAUCUAUAAACUGUAAAAUCCCAUUGUUCUUCUCCGACAUUAGCAUGAUCAAACCAUGAAACAAAUAUUUCUUAUUCUUCAAGUGCAGCAUUCACCAGAUGUUUUUUUUCACCAGACGUUUCUUGUAAUACAAUUGUUCAAAAACAACAAAGUGAAUGUCUAUAUAAUUGAUUAUCCCCAAGCCUUGGGUGAAUGUUUACUUCUUGGCAUGUAUUAAACCAAUUUAAAAAAGCAUGACUAUAUUUACCUACUUACUCAAUAUACUCUUAUGGAAUACUAUUUGAUUACUACAAUAUAGAAUCACUAAAACUAAUCACCUUGGAGCUCAAAGAUGUAAAUUAAGAAAAUAUACAUUUUCUGUUAUCAUUUGAAGAAAAUAAUUUAUAAAAUAAUUUUAAGUUCUCAGAAUGUAUAUUACAUGAUUGUUUUUUACUAUGUUUAAUUAUAUGGAGUUUCAAAACCCUUAGAUGCUUAGCAUAUGUGUAAUAAUGUGUAUAUUUUAUAUUUAUAUCACAUGUUUAAUUUUCAGUUUGAUUUCUUAGUCAGGCUGUUAUAUACAAAACAUUGAAAGAUUUUAAACAAAACACCAAUUUGAAUUGGAAAGAACACGUAAUUGGAAUUCGAAGACUCUUUAUAUAGUUUUCAAAUUUGAUUUACAAAAUUUGUUUCCAAAAAGAAUCUAAUACCACUUGAAAUUAUAAUUCAACCAAGUCAUAUGGUCAUUAUAUAGAUUAAUAUUUGUCUUUUUCAUAAUGUAUAGAUCAUCGUGAAUGUGAAAUUUUCAUCUUUGUAUUUAUAUAUCUUAGCUUCAGUCCCUUAUUUAGUAAAGAACUUAUGGAAAAUUAUGACGAAGCUGACAUAUAUGCAAACAACUAUAAAACAUACACACGUCCCGUCAUGCCAUUGCAGCACACAAAAAAAACCUAUAUAACAUACAGACUGAUGUGUUUCAAAAAUAAACAUACACACUAACGUCAUGCCAUUGCAGCACUCAAAAACAAAAAAAGCAGCGAAGAGGAGUUGGUUCGUCGAAGUCAAAUAAGUUCCAAUAUAUAUAAUAGCUGAACAAAGAAAAAAAGUAUAAGUGCCCUUUUACAGUUAAAAAAAAAUUAAACUUAUUCCAGCAAACAGAAUUUGUCAUGUUGGAACAACAAUCUCUGACUCUGGCAGUAACUGAAAACUAAAUAACAUACCCAUUGUUUCUAACUGUAGUAGAAGACGUGAAGUGGUCUUUAUUACUCUCUUCAUGAAACUCUUCACCUCUUGGAUCCCUACACAAUGAUUUUGUGAUUCUUGAGCUUGAUUCUACGGAUUAUCAACUUUGCUUUCUGAUUCUCCGAGCAUUGACAGCAUCUUAUGAAAUUGAUUCCCAGCUAAUGCAUUUUCCUCUUCAAUCAGUUUGACUCCAUCACUUUAAGUUUUCCACAAGACACUUAUAUAUUCAUCAAAUAUAAAACAAAAUAAUAACCUGAUUUUUUAGUCCAAAAUCAUUAUUUAUGUUUUGCUAGUGAAACAGGGUAAUCAGGAUGACACAACACACCUCUUGACAUUACUUGAUAUGCAUCAGUUUCUUGGAACGCUAUUGCUACGUUAUCUCCAGCUCUUGCAAUGGUGAAACCCUGAGAGUCAUGCUCCAGAGAAAGCAAGAUUUCUUGAUCUCCCGAUGUCAUAACCAUUACCUAGCAGAAUGUUCCAGUAAUGUAAGCCAUUAGUUGAAGCAGACUCAUUAGUAUCAUUAAACAAUAUAUAAAGCACAUCCAUAAGAAAGUUUUUCGAUUUAAAGCUAAUGACAACAAAGAGAACUUGGAAACCUAUAACACCUAAACAUAACUUGUACACGAAGUAGUAGUUCUGUUUAAGAAUACUAAUGAAAAACAAACGAAGUGAGUGCUCUGUUAAACCCUUGUUGAGCGAAUCUGGUCUGAGUCAAACUCUCUCAAAGACUGCAACUUUAACUGUCUCUGUGUCUCUCUUCAUCUCUGUUGCAAACUUGUGUUCCAACUUUCCGACAUGUCGUUGUGUACAUCUAAUCUCCACCCUUCAUCUUCUCUAUCAAUCUCUUCUCCAACAACAACAACUCCCCAAAACCAUCUCUCAGCUCUCUCCGGUUCUCCACCUCUACUUCUCCUUCUUCCUCUGUUGCUCCUCUCAGUUUCGCCACCACCAACCACACCCUUAGCUCUCCUUUCCCUUCAAACCAUAUCCAAAGCCGCCAACUUUGGCUUCGUUGUGUCACGUCAGAGUCCAAGCCCUCUAUUUCAGUUGCUCCCGGCGGUAACGGCGGCGCUGAUAAGUUCCAGCGAUACCCUUUUGCUCGCUUAAUAUUCAGUGUACUAACUUCGUUUCAUUUACUGCAGAAGAGAGAGUGAUAGUUCUUGUAAUCGGUACCGGAGGGAGAGAACACGCCCUUUGUCACGCCUUGAAACGCUCUCCUUCCUGCAACUCUGUGCUAUGCGCGCCUGGAAACCCCGGCAUCACGAGCUCCGGAGACGCUACUUGCGUACCUGACCUUGACGUAUCAGACAGCUCAGCUGUCAUCUCCUUCUGUCGAAAACAGAAUGUGGGUUUAGUGGUUGUUGGUCCUGAAGUGCCUCUUGAUUUUGAUCGUAUCACUGAGAUGCGUUUCUACAGCCAACUUGAUUUUGAAAGGAUUUAGGUUUAGACGUAGGGUUUUAUAUAGGAGGAGGAUCAACGGGAGGUGAAACGAAAAAAUCAAGAAGAGUUUAAAGAUCAUCAAUGAUUGAUCAGUAGUGUCUCAAGGUAACUGAAAGUUCUGAGUUUUGGAGACGAAGACGAAGAGGAAGAAUCGGGAAGAUCAUCGACUCUCAAACUUUAGAGGAAAAACAAAGGUUUGGCAACGCAGGCCUGGUAUGGGCUGAGUUAAAAUGUUAACUAAACAAAAAAGUCCAGUUUUACUCUUCUUCUGUAGAAAGCGAUUCUGACGUGGCGAAAACAAACUUACUCAUUAGCUGAAUUUUUUUGAGGACGUGACAGCCUCACCAUUGAGUAUAUACUGUUUUUAGUAUUGUGAUAGUCUCGAAAAUCAAUCCUAAAAUAUAUAAUUAAAAAAAAACUAUUUAAACAAACCAUCAAAAUUUUUAAUAUUACACCAAAUAAGAAUAUAAAGACCAACUAUAUUCUCUUCAUGCAUAAUGUGUUGUGGUAAGAUUCAAAAAAACUAACUUACUAUGGGAAAAUUAGAUUUUUAAUUCUAAAUUUACAAUAAAAACAUAACAUUUUAUAAAACUAAACAAUUGCCAUAAUAGUACAAAAAUAUGAAAAAAUCAAAAUACUAUCCGCGCGUAGCGGGCAAGAACCUAGUCUACAAUAAAUAAAAGGGAUUAUUUUUAGAGUCUCUCAGCCCUUCCACAAAUAUUCACAGCCAAGCCAAUUAAAAGUGACCAACAUAAAUAAAAAAAUUCACAGCCAAUUAUAUCGACACAUCAUCAUGAAAUCAAGUGAAAUAAUUAAUCUGAACACAAUAUAUGUGGUCGAGAAAUGAGCCCACCGUUCUUAUGUAAAUGAGGCACAAUAUAUCAAGUACCUAUUUUCACCCGUAUAGCCAACGGCAAAAUCUAAAUGUUGACUGAGCUCAGAACGUCGCUGGUGAAACGGCUAUGGCCACAACUAUCUCAGUAUCUCUCAUGAAAGCUUCUUCUCUACUUCCAUAGGCGAAACGCAUCUACUCUCUUCUCAUCCCCACUAUCCAACCAAUAAAUAUCCUGAGGUCCGAAAUGACAGGGUCCUUCAUCGCUGCUCUUCAAUGAUGUCCAGUCAGCCCUAGGAGAUUCCGUACAAGUUGGUUUUCCGUGUUAUCCACUUGUGGGAAGCAGCAGGGAACACAUCAUCCUAAUCGGGCUUGAGUUGCUACUGAUUGAUGAACAUAGAUCAAUAUCCAAACCGGAGAAGAUGAAGAAGCUGCUGUGAAGCUGGAACCUACGAAGACGAGGCAUUCUCCACUACAGUAUAAAUGUAAAUACUAUAUAUUAUGUGGGGGAAGAGAAUUGGUUUCUAUGAUCAUUUGUACGAAUUUUAAUUUUCAACCCUCUCUCUCUGCCCUCUGUUGGCUUAACCUUCUUGGGCCGAGCAUGGAGACGUAUUAAAUUUCUGCAAUCGGAUGUUUACAUUCAAAUCUGUUUUAAUGCCUGCAGAUCAAUUGGUUAAUAUCAUUGAUAUGACUGGUGUGAUCUUAGUCCUAUGCAGACAGUGUUGGUGGUAUCAGUCUAUUACAGUCGACAUGCAAACAGUGGCGGAACCAGCUUAAUCUUCCACUAGGGUCAAUUUCAUUACAAACAUUAUUACAUGGGUCGUUAAGCUAAAUCUAUAGCAUUUUCUCAAUUUUUUCUUCAGUAUACAAGUAAAUUUUGUUAUUUUUACAAACCAUGUGGGUCAUAUGACCCCCCUGACCAAGAGAUGGCUCCGCCACUGCAUGCAAAUGAGGAGAUAAGAAGUUGCAAGAAUCUACAGCAAAUGGAGAUCCACACUCAUGUAUCUAUAGACAGCUAUCUGGUCAUGAAGUUCCAGGUAGAACUCUUUUUUUGACCGCUAAAAUACUUAAUCUCUUGCGGCCGGAAGCACCAGCUUGUUUGGCUUCGUGAACACGAGGUUCAGAUGAGAUUGUUGUGGUUUGGGUGUUGUCAUUGUGAACUUGUGGUUUAGAUGAGUUCUUGGCUCUUCACGAAGAAGUCUUCUACGUUACUUGCUCUCUUGCUUAGUUCAUCGCAAAGCUUCCGGAUAGCAUCGUCCUUUUAAGUUUUUACUCUUGUAUUUUAGAGUGUUUAGUUCUGAGUUCUUUUAAGGAGUGUUAGGAUUUGUUCUAUGUUUCUUUGUUGGUCGUAUGUAGUCCGUGUACGUUUUGGGUUCUUGGUCCUCCUGGUAGGCAGAACCGGCCCUAGACGGAAGCCAAACAAGCUGGUGCUUCCGGCCGCAAGAGAUUAAGUAUUUUAGAGGUAGAACUCUUUUACUCCCCUCUAUCCUCCGUAGACCUUCUCCCUUUGUGUAAGCCUCUUAAAUCAUCGUGACUCUCUAUUUUAUAUUUUGCAAAACUCUAUAUUUGAAGUUUCAAGGCGUUCUUCUCCAAAAUCAAAACUUCAAAUUUGAUUUAAAAAUUUAUAUGUAAUUUAUACUAUGGUCUUUAUCUUUGUCUUAACUAAUAUAAAUCUAUAAAACUUUUAUAAAUAACUAGCACAUAUAUAAAAAUAUGGGCAACUCUCCUAACUAGACCAUUUUCAAGUUUUUAUUACAAAAAUAUACUCUAAGGAGGAAAAUGACCAAAAUGUUUCAUUUAAUAGGUAAAAAUAUAUUAAUAUCCUUGAUAUAUAAAUACAAAUAAAUAAAUAAAUAAAUAAAAUUAAAAAAAAAUUAAUAAUUUUUUUAAUAGCUUUAUAUUAUGUGUUUUCAAAUUCUAACUUUUAUUUUUUUUUAUUUUUUUUUUGUUUUUCUUUUUGUAAUUCGAAAUACUUCUUGAAACUAUUUUUCAAAUUUUUAUUUUCAACAUUUUAAUAUUUUUUUUUAUUUUAUAAAAUUUAAAAGCUUAAUCCCAAAUUCUCACCCAUUUAACUCUAAACCCUAAGGUUUGGAUUAGUUAACCGGAUUAGUUAACCCAAGGGGUAUAAGUGUAUAUUUACGUUUUUAAUGAAACAUUUUGGUCAUUUAGAUCUUUAGAGUCUAUAUUUGUUGACAAAAAUAAUUUUACUGCUAUUCUAGGAUAUUUCUCUAAAAAUAUUACAUUAAUAUUAAUUAAUAAAAUCUUACACUAAAACAGAAAAUAUAAAUAGAAAUACAUAAUUAAAUAUUAAACUAGAAAAUACCACAUUAUUCCAUAAAACUAUUUCUGUAAUGCUCCAUUUCUCGUAUCAUAAAAAUUGUUUGGACAAUAUUUUAGAGGUUCUAGAGCAAAUUUACUUAGACUAUUAGUGCUGUUGUAAUAUUUAAAUUUGUGCAAUAAUUAUGUCUUCAUAUAUAUUUUUAAAAGUUUUUUAUUAAGUAUUUGGUAAUAUUCUUGUUGUCUGAUUCAAGUUUUUAAAUAUUAUAAAUCUAGUGACAAAAAAAAAAUUAUAAAUCUUAUUUUAAAAUUAUUAUUUAAUUUUAUGUGUAAAUUUGAAUUUACAAUAAUAAAUUUGAAAUAUUUAUGAUAUAUAAAAGUUUUAAAGAUUCAAACGAUAAAUAAAAAAAUUAAUUAAUAAUCAUAAAUGUGAUGUGUAGUUAAUUAUAAGGAUCAAAAUGCAAAUAAAAAGAUAAAACUUCAAAUUUAGAGUUUUGAGUAGUGAACCUUUAAAUGUGAAUAGUGAAAUUUUAAACAUGAAGUUUCACUUCAUAAAAUUCUAAAUUUGAAAUUUUGAAGUUCUUUUUUGAAGAGUGAAAAAAUCUAUAUUUGAAGUUAUAGAAUUACUUUUGGAAAUAUUUUAAUGCUGAUAUUUUGAGUUUUGGAAUACAUGUGAUUGUAGAAGUACAUCCAAACACCAGUUUGAGCAGAA